rnacentral:rRNA from 1 species
CAAGUCGUGGGGCAGCAGGUCUGUAGCAAUACAGAUGCUGGCGACCGGCAAACGGGUGCGGAACACGUACACAACCUUCCUUUAAGUGGGGGAUAGCCCGGCGAAAGCCGGAUUAAUACCCCGUAACAUAUUGAAUAGGCAUCUAUUUAAUAUUAAAGCUCCGGCGCUUAAUGAUGGGUGUGCGCCUGAUUAGGUAGUUGGCGGGGUAACGGCCCACCAAGCCUGCGAUCAGUAACUGGUGUGAGAGCACGACCAGUCACACGGGCACUGAGACACGGGCCCGACUCCUACGGGAGGCAGCAGUAAGGAAUAUUGGUCAAUGGACGCAAGUCUGAACCAGCCAUGCCGCGUGGAGGAUGAAGGUCCUCUGGAUUGUAAACUUCUUUUAUCUGGGACGAAAAAGGGUCUUUCUAGAUCAACUGACGGUACCAGAUGAAUAAGCACCGGCUAACUCCGUGCCAGCAGCCGCGGUAAUACGGAGGGUGCAAGCGUUAUCCGGAUUCACUGGGUUUAAAGGGUGCGUAGGUGGGUCUGUAAGUCAGUGGUGAAAUCUCCGAGCUUAACUUGGAAACUGCCAUUGAUACUAUAGAUCUUGAAUAUUGUGGAGGUCAGCGGAAUAUGUCAUGUAGCGGUGAAAUGCUUAGAUAUGACAUAGAACACCAAUUGCGAAGGCAGCUGGCUACACAUAUAUUGACACUGAGGCACGAAAGCGUGGGGAUCAAACAGGAUUAGAUACCCUGGUAGUCCACGCCCUAAACUAUGGAUACUCGACAUUUGCGAUACACUGUAAGUGUCUGAGCGAAAG